rnacentral:rRNA from 1 species
AGCGAACGCUGGCGGCAGGCCUAACACAUGCAAGUCGAACGAACUCUUCGGAGUUAGUGGCGGACGGGUGAGUAACACGUGGGAACGUGCCUUUAGGUUCGGAAUAACUCAGGGAAACUUGAGCUAAUACCGAAUGUGCCCUUCGGGGGAAAGAUUUAUCGCCUUUAGAGCGGCCCGCGUCUGAUUAGCUUGUUGGUGAGGUAAUGGCUCACCAAGGCGACGAUCAGUAGCUGGUCUGAGAGGAUGACCAGCCACAUUGGGACUGAGACACGGCCCAAACCCCUACGGGAGGCAGCAGUGGGGAAUCUUGCGCAAUGGGCGAAAGCCUGACGCAGCCAUGCCGCGUGGAUGAUGAAGGUCUUAGGAUUGUAAAAUCCUUUCACCGGUGAAGAUAAUGACUGUAGCCGGAGAAGAAGCCCCGGCUAACUUCGUGCCAGCAGCCGCUGUAAAAC